UACGAAGGGAGCUAGCGUUGUUCGGAAUCACUGGGCGUAAAGCGCACGUAGGCGGAUUUGUCAGUCAGGGGUGAAAUCCCGGGGCUCAACCUCGGAACUGCCUUUGAUACAGCAAGUCUUGAGUUCGAGAGAGGUGGGUGGAAUUCCUAGUGUAGAGGUGAAAUUCGUAGAUAUUAGGAAGAACACCGAUGGCGAAGGCGGCCCACUGGCUCGAUACUGACGCUGAGGUGCGAAAGCGUGGGGAGCAAACAGG
rnacentral:rRNA from 1 species